rnacentral:lncRNA from 1 species
UUUUUUUUUUUUUCUUUCCCUCUUCUUUAAGGGGACACUCCCACACAGCUUCUCCAAAUUCUUUUCGGUGAUAAUUGUGGCUAAUUAUACUCAGCAAAUAAUCUCAUCUUGCCAGUCUUCCCCUGUUUGACUUGUGGGGGAUUAAUCACAGCUUUCUGCUGUCGAGCGAGGUUCUGGAGAGCAUGGCAUCAUUGUUUUCUCUAAAGGAAACCCCUCUGAAACAGGGGCUCCAUCCAUCAUCCCUUCUGGAGUCGAAAGAACUGAUUAAAACUUCCUGGCCUGCAAACUUGUUUGCUAACGUGUGGCUUCCUCCCUGCCGUCAGCAGAGGGUCCUUCUGCAGUGUGUUUAGGAGUGGGCUGAGGGUACUGUUUUAUCAAGAUGGGACAGUUAUCUGCGGGCGGGGAGGCCCAGGGCUGGGAACCUGACCACCCCUGUAAACACAAUGAUAACAUCGAGUCUGCAGGCUUCGGGAAGACAAUGCCCUCGGAUUCCCUCUUUCUAAUUAAUGUCUGAAACAAUAGGUGGGAAACCCGAGGGCUCCCCCAGGUGCCGCCCCCCCACCACAUCAUUAUCUAUUGGCCUUUAUUUCUGGGCAUUGAUUGAGCUUAGGGUACGUUGUGUGUAUGAAGAAACUGCAAAUUAAAAUGCGGACUUCUCCCAUUCUUCUUCCUGGAGUGUUCAUCUUGUUAUAAAGCUGGGGUGACAGAGAUGAAAAGUCGGAAGCAGACGAUUUGGGAGCUAUAUACACUUGUGUGCACUGUAUCAACCUCUCUUCCAAAACGAUUCCCAUAAGCAAAUGUUUGAUGGAGGCAGAUGAGGGCAUGUGAGCUCGUGAAGAAAUGUCUUCACAACUGUUUAGGUCAGGGAAAGACACAGGCACCUUUCGCCAGUGGCGGGUGAAUGCUCUGUCUUCAGAGUCCAUGACUGCUAUGUGGCCUGUUAUUUCACUAAGAGGAAGUCACAGCUAUGUCACAGCUACGUCACAGGGACAUUUUUCAUUUUUAAAAAAUCUGAGAUGGGGAGUUCCCGUCGUGGCACAGUGGUUAAUAACGAAUCCGACUAGGAACCAUGAGGUUGCGGGUUCGGUCCCUGCCCUUGCUCAGUGGGUUAAGGGUCUGGCGUUGCUGUGAGCUGUGAUGUGGGUCACAGGUGCGGCUCAGAUCCCGCGUUGCUGUGGCUCUGGCUUAGGCUGGGGGCUACAGCUCUGAUUGGACCCCUAGCCUGGGAACCUCCAUAUGCCAUGGGAGCAGCCCAAGAAAUGGCAAAAAGACCAAAAAAAAAAAAAAAAAAAAAAUCUGAGAUGCCUAGGACUCUGAGGCUGUUUGGUGCACUGACCUGCAGGGGAGCGUUUGCCCAUGUCCUUCUCAGUGGGAUUUGCUGGCUGGCAUCAUUAGAGAGACAAGCAAUCAAGCCAUAUGAAGUCAAUCUACAUUUGUGAUUGCCCUGCAGAGUAACAAUUAAGCUAUUUAGAUGGAAAAAUCUCCCAGGUUCCUACACAAAGGAUCCUUUGGAUUUCAGAUAUGCAACAAUGAGGUCUUGGCGAAUGCAGCCGGCCAAGAUAAAGAUCAGGUGACCAAAUUCUGGACUCAAUAACCAGAACUGCCUGUAACGGGAACCCUCUCAAGUUGCAUAAGCCAAGUGAAGGACCCCGUUUCCAAAGGCGUUGGCAAACCUCAAUCACACAAGCUUCUCAGACCAGCCAGCGCUAUCAGUGACCUUUUGGCCAUAAUUCCUUGUCAAAAGUAACAGCACGAACACGUGGCAUCAGUUAGGGUCACGGCGGCUGCUGUGAUGUGAUACAAGAGGUCUGGCUCAUUUCACGUCCAGAACGAGCAACGAGCGUGGCUGAUCACUCGGGUGGCUUCGCUUCCUGCAGUGACUCAGAGACCCUGGCCCUUUUAUCUCGUGGUUCUACCAUCCCUGCCGUGUGGCUUCCACACUGGCAGGGGAGGACCAUGGAGGGCUGGGCAUGGCAGGUGUUAAAGGGUCAGACCUAGAAGAGCCAAUGUCGCUUGUAUCAUUACUCCAUUGGCCGGGACACAGCUGACACCAGCAAGGCCAGGAAACAAAGUCGAGCUGUGUGCCAGGAUGAGGGCAACGGCUUGGUGGUGAUGUGCUCAGGGCCUCUGACUGCCUGGAGUCCUAAGCACAGCCACAAGCCAGCUCCCCUCCUCCAAGUUCAGGGUCUCAGACCCCCUUAACACUGCCUUGGCUACGGCGUUGACAUGAUGGAAAUCAAAACCUAUCUGGCACGAUGUAACAUAAGCUGUUGGAUUUCAGCCCUGGCUUUUACUUCCCACCUCCAAAGCAACUUUCAGACCCACGAUGCUCUCAGACGGCCCCGGGGCUGGCAGGUGGACCGUCCUUCUGGGAGGCUGAGUUCUUUGUGGGGCCCUCGGAACGGACCCUUUGACCUCUUGAGGUUUCUCACUGCUCUGAUCUCCGGCUAAUGGAUAGUGUUUUCCAAGCUGAGGGUGUUUUAAAGAUACGGCAGCGAACCAAUGAUACCAUGUCUGACCUCUUCAGGGAUGGCCUUGUGCAUUUCACAGGCUCGGCCUCCCUUAUUGGCUAAUUUCAUAACUUGACUAGAAGUUGGUUUUAGGGAAUCAAUUCUGCCAUUCCCUCAUCACAAGUAAAACCAUAAAAUUUUAUGAGAGCUAAAGGGACUGCCUUUUAUGGAGGGGAACUUAAAUGAACAUUAAAGGGAGCAUAAAACAAUUAAAAAAAAAAAAGAAAUUCCACAAGGUGUUUGCCCCUGGACAGCCACGCUAAAUGACAGUGCUGGGGAUGUGAUCUGGCUGCUUAUGUUUCCCACAAGGUACCGGGGGGAAGCGGGGGUGGGGGGGGUUGUCAUUCUCUGAUCACUGGCAAUAGAAUUGUGGGAGCUCCAGUAGUGGCUUCAGGAGAAGGUACAAAAGAAAACGCCUCGAUCCACCACCCGCUAAUAACUGUGUGUCUCCAGGUAACGUCUCUGAGCUCCAGACUCAUCAUCUGCAAAACGCAGAUGACAACAGCAACUCCUCAGAGGCUUCGAUGACACCACGCAUGCGAAGUGACAGCACAGUGCCUGGCCCACAGCGGGUCUUUGGUUAAUAUCACCAUUUAUCAUUACUGUUCACAACGGAAAAAGCUGAAAGACCACUUGGGGCUCUGUUCAGUUUCCAUAAAUGAGAACGAACGUUGAUUUCCCGCUGACUCUGUGCCACACACAGCUCGGGGUCAUCUCCACUUGACAGAGGCGGAAACUGAGGCUCAGAGACUGUGAAAAACCUGCCCAAAGUAACACAGCCAAAAAAACCCAUCACUGGAUUCAGUAGCCAGAGAUGGGGGGAGGGGGUUCUAGAAGCAAGAACACGGAAGUAAGAUCUACUGAUGAAUCUGGGGGACCGGGUCCUAAUCGGAAUUUCCAAACCCCACCUCUGUUCACGGCAUUAGAACCCCUGAUGGUUGAGGGUGAUCAUAUUCACGUACAAGAAAGCACCACCCAGGUGAUUCUUGCACAGGCUACGCUCUGACCUUGAGAACAACUGAUGCCGAGGUGUUUCUUACAACACGGCGCCUGGGGAGGAAAGCGCCUAAGCAUUCUAUUCUGUCCACCUGCCGAAAUGGCCAUCCGCUUCCCUCUUUGGGCUGCCUCCUCAUCUCCCUAUCUUCCCACCGUCGUCACUUCUGGCACUUCCGUGUGCCAGGAAUAGACAGAUCGAAGCCUGGGUACAGUUUUGGGAAAGCACUGUUUAAAUGAACAUCACUAAUGUGGCCGUGAACAUGGGAGACCUGGACACGCUGUACAGACGUGAAAGGCAACCCCCUGUUUCAGUUAGGAUGGACGAGGUUCUGCUGCGGCAAGGAACAGCCCCACGGCUCAGAGACUCAGCAUGGCAAAAGCCUCGUUCUUGCUCGGACGACGAGCCCGGAACAGGUUGGCAGGGGCUCUGUUCAUCUCAGUCACCCAGGGACCCUGGAUCAUGGAGGACCCAUGUCAUCGUGUCCGUCCACAAUCACCUUGUCAGAGAACAGCACUGGACCACCGGGCUCUGCCUUUUCCCAUCUGCCCCUUGAAGCAACACUUCUGUUCACGCUUCCUCAGCCCAAACGAGCCACCUACGUGCACCUGAUUUCAAGGGAGGGGGACAUGUCACCCUUGGAAGAAGAGGACAGCAACACGUGACACACCACCAAGAACCUUCAGAUCUAUUAAAAAACAAACAAAACAGAAUGUAAACCCAUGAUGCCUCGGCUUCUUGAGCAAUGAACUCCAAUGUCAUGAUGGAUUGCAACACUCGAUCCUGAUCCGGGACAGAGGUGGAGUUUCAUUCAUGCCUGUAGGUACCAGGGAGGGUGGAUGAAACCACACAAUCAAGUGAAGUUGGCUGGGUGUCUUAUUUGGCGAAAUCAAUCUCUCGGACCUGUGCGUGAUACACCGUUUGCCAAGCGGUGCUUAUCAUUUCCCAGACGUCCCUGGCCUGAGACGUGCCCGGCAUCUUCUCACACUCCCCCUUUGCCUGACUCUCCUCAUCUGGACUAAGACGACGCACCCACGUGCUUCAUUUAAAAUACGGUGCAUAGGAUUUUGUUUGCAGGGGGAUGGACGCGUUCCCGGGAGGCAAUGUUUUUGGCGGGAUGGGCACAGAGGCCGACGAGUGCCAAGAUCACAGGCUUUCAGGAAAUGAACCUCGGGCCUCAGUUGUUGAACGGGAGCUGUCACCCAAGAGGAAUCCCACUUCCAGAAAGGCCCCUGCACCAAACGGUGGGUUUCACUCAGAGGAAAAGGACAGACUGAGGGUUAAAACCAGCCAGGAGGCACUCGGGUGUGGGGAGGGGCAACUGUGCGUACUUCUCAAGCCAUGAAAUACGGCCCCUGUUUUGACACUCUUGUAAUAGCAUGGAUGUUCUCUCUCCUCGUUGCCGUGGGGUUUAUGGUCCAUAAAGUUUAAUAACAAUCCUAACAGCUCAACGGAAAACACACCAGGCUCGAAGGCCACUCCGACCAAAGGGGACCUGAUUUUUCCCUUUGUCCCCCUUGGGCGUCUUGACUUGUACGCGUGCCCAACUCUCACUGGGGGCCCUGGAGAAGAACCACGUGGGAAAGGGGACACAGAGGGCUGCGGUUGGCUCUGAAAUAGCGAGGUGGCUGCACACAUCCGGCCUUGACAGCAGUCUGAGCUUGGAGAAACUGGAGAUCACAAAGCCUGCUUGUCCUGCAAUCAAGGACCCCAAAGUGCCCGGGUGUGGCUAGGUUACGGCUUCAUCCACAUAUCCGGACAGCUGCGAGCAACCCCACAUUCCCCCCACCAAGGCUGCAAGGCUGUGCCUGACCUGCUCUCAGCUUCCGCUCCUUUUUCAACCAGUCGCCGUGGUCCUGACCCAAGCCCCUGGAAACUGCCAAAUCCGCUAACCCCUGGCCUGUAGGCCUCUCACUGCCUCCCUCCCCUCCCCUGGUUCUCUCUGGGGGGCUGGUCUUCUGUCUUCCUGGGACUUGCUUCCACUUCCUCCUCAGCCCUGGUUAAAGGGCACCUCCUCAGAGAAGCCCUCCGGAUUCCAUCUAAGGUCACCGGCCCUAUGAAUAUACCCACUUUGUCUUUCCUACUCAGCACUUCACACCAUCUGUAAGAGCUUGUUUGUGUACCUGCUCCUUUGUUUAUUUACACACUUGCACACACUCGGGAACGAGAGCUCCACGCAAUCAGGGAGCUGGACUCUUAGUCGGGGUGGUACUCAAUGGUGGUUUUGGACAGAAGACCCAACAGCCUAGGUGAUAAAGGGUCAGGGGACCUUGUCACAGAAGCGCUGAACAACAUGGGGAGGUUAAGGCUGGCGCACUCACAGGGGAGAUGGAAAGAGUUUGUCUCCACCUCAUAACACAGCAUGAUCCGGAGGAAACGUCUUGUCUGCCCUGAAGGUGACCAGAGGGCUCUGAGCUCCUUAUUUCUCCAGGUUUUUCCAUCUCUCCCUCCCCUCACACCCUGACGGAUGUGUCCUUAUCUAUUUCACUUCAGAAGCAGUGGACCACAGCUGGCCCUCUGUAUCCCAGAUGUGGGACCCCUGGAUACAGAGGAUGCGCACUGUCCUACCUUAUCCCGUAUAAGGGACUUGAGCAUCCGAGGAGCUGGAAGGGAUCCCCCGUGGGCACAGAUAUUGCACAGUGUAUCCAUUCGGACUCUGCAUGUUGCAACCUGGGCCAGAUUCUGCGGGGGACCUCUGAAGGCUCCGGGAUGGGAGGGGCUGGGCCACUCUUCCUAGGGAGGAUAUUCCAGCUGGGGAGCAGGGGACUGGGAGGAAAUCCUUAUCAGGCUACAUUUGCAUAUCAAAGAGCGCUUCCUGCUGGGCUGCUUUGCCCAGUAACAAAGUCAUCUCAUUCAAGGCCAAGAGGCUUUCCUCUGAAGCUAAAUUCUACUGUUCUUCCUACUUCUCCCUUGGGGAGACAAAAUAGUUCAGUUUCCAAAAGGCGCAGGGAGAUAAUUCACCUUGCUGGUGGCUCGCUGUAACCCUCACUGUCUCCACGUGGUAGAGCUUCACGGAGGAACCCCAGGAUUACAGGAGGUGCUUACGUACCCUCAGACUCCUGAGUUAAUCCAAAGCCUAUAACCAAGGAGACAGAAAUACUGGAGCCUAAGCCAGCCAGCCAGCCAGCCAGCCAGCCAGCCAGCCAACCAUCAGUCCAUCACAGAAGCAUUAGCUGCAUCACUACCACGUUUCUGGCACAAGCCUAUUUCACCUUUCUAGAUUUUUGACCUUUUAGGUAACAUAGGAGAGGAAGAAUCUGGAGUGGCGGAAAGACAGGGGAUCCUGACACUGACAACUGGCCCAAGUUACGGCAACUCGGGGAAAUACGUUUGGUACAACUGAUCGUGUUCGGGACACACUACCCCACAGAGGGCACCCCGGCAUACUGAGUAUUUGAAGGUGAAGGAGUUUGAGAGAAGGGCAGAAACAGGAAGGCACCUCUGAUUUCCUCCCUCUUUUCUUCCCAGCACAGGUCUCGAAGCCCUCCCGUGAGAGGUGCCCUGUCCACAUUCUGGGGUCAGGAGCACCGCUACUGCUGACGACAAAGGGACACAGAAGCACAGGCCUUGCCAGGUUUCCCCCACUUCCCUGCAGUCGGCCUGUGCUUUUCCACAUGGAACUAUUUCACCAAGACUGGCUGCGCCCCCUCCAUCCCACCCGGAGUAAAGCUCCCUUUCCUCACCAAGGCCCCCGGGUCACCUAACACUUACACUGAAUAAAUCUUACGCUUUUUUGUUGUGAAUCUGUCUCUGUCCGUUGAAUUUUCAGACCCAGCUGGGGACCUGACGAGUCCUCUCCCACAACAGUCAGGUGAAAUUGAGAGCCCUCUGGCCCAUCUUCCCAGGGACAUUCUCUUUAAAAUAAAUUUCACACAUCGGAGCCUGUUCUUUGGCAGUCAGGUCGCUCACACCAUCAGUGCCCAGCUCAGUCUUUUACUCAUGGAAGACAGCUUUCGAGGCCACCAGCAGUCACUGAAUUUACAUUUCUUGUUUUCGAGACUUUCUUCGGGUUGGACGCUGGUGUGAGUGGACCCAGCGCCGCAUGAGAUGAGAGGGCAGUCUGUCCUACUCUCCUCUCGGGGUCCCUGCUGAGACCGGAGGAAAGUGGGCAGGACACAAACAAGAGGUACCAGAGAAGGGGACAGCUGCGUAGGGGGCCAUAAAGACCGGCUGGAACCAGCUGAAACCAAGAUGGCUUUGGGAACAGUCCGGGCAUUGACCUUCAGCUCCUUCUACCUUCACUGUGAUUCUAAAAAUCACUCCCCUUUAUUCCGAGACAGUUCCGAGGAGCCAAAAAGGCCCUGUGAGGCCAAAAAAUGGGCAGUGGCCCAACUCCUGGGAAAUUCCCGCCCUACCCCGAAAUAGCAAGAAUAUUCAUAUUUCCCUGCUCAUUAGCUACGAGAUUCCUUAGUCGAUAAAAACAACCACCCCAGCCUGAGGCCACCCUUGCCUUCUGAGAAGGACCGCGUUCCACCUUUGGAAUGUGUGUCUCCA